CUUCGGGCCGGCCUAGUAAAGUGUUUAUUUUUUUCAUUUUUUUAAAAAAAUUUAGUAUAAAAAUUUAAAAUAUAAAUAAUAAAUAUUUUUAUUUAAAUUAAUAUUUUGAUUAAAAUAUUAAAAAAUUAUAAAAAUAAUUAUACCAAAGUAAAUAUUUAAUUUUUUUAAAAAAAUAAAUAAAUUUGCAUUAUUUAUUUUUAAAAAAAGAAAAUUGAAAUAGA
rnacentral:lncRNA from 1 species